UUUCCCUUACCAUGUUAGUCCCAUGCUUUGGUAAGAUCCUUGUCAUAUUAGUCCCAGUACUUUGACAAGUUCCUGUUUUCUUUCCCUUGCCUUGUUAGUCCCAGUUGGUUAGGCAUGCCUUCUUUCCGGUUUAAACACCACCUCAAUCAUAUCUUUCUUUCAGUCUUAGUCCUCCUAACUACGGAGCUCUUACUUCCUUAUUUCACUAUAAGGAUACAUAGGCAGGAGGUUGCGAAUCCUUAGUGAGCAUUUU
rnacentral:lncRNA from 1 species